GUAACGGGGUGUUAGGGCACGACACCGGAGAGGGAGCCUGAGAAACGGCUACCACAUCCAAGGAUGGCAGCAGGCGCGCAAAUUACCCAAUCCCGACACGGGGAGGUAGUGACAAUAAAUAACAAUACGGGGUUCUUUCGGAUCUCGUAAUUGGAAUGAGUACAAUUUAAAUCUCUUAACGAGGAACAAUUGGAGGGCAAGUCUGGUGCCAGCAGCCGCAGUAAUUCCAGCUCCAAUAGCGUAUAUUAAAGUUGUUGCAGUUAAAAAGCUCGUAGUUGAAUUUCGGGGUUAGCAGGUCGGUCGUGCCAUCGGUAUGAACUGGCCUCGCUGAUCCCUCCCUCUUGACGAACUGUGAUGCCAUUAAUUUGGUGUCGCAGGGAAUCAGGACUGUUACUUUGAAAAAAUUAGAGUGUUUAAAGCAGGCUCACGCUUGAAUACAUUAGCAUGGAAUAAUGAAAUAGGACGUUCGAACCUAUUUUGUUGGUUUCUAGGAUCAACGUAAUGAUUAAUAGGGAUAGUUGGGGGCAUUAGUAUUCAAUUGUCAGAGGUGAAAUUCUUGGAUUUAUUGAAGACUAACUACUGCGAAAGCAUUUGCCAAGGAUGUUUUCAUUAAUCAAGAACGAAAGUUAGGGGAUCGAAGACGAUCAGAUACC
rnacentral:rRNA from 1 species